rnacentral:tRNA from 1 species
GAGCCUCGGCGGCCCGCGGCCCGCCGGGCGUGCGGCUUCGUGCGGCGCGGCGGCCGCCGCGGCACGCGCACCGGACGGUUCAGAUCCGUUCGAUGAUCG